UGACAUCAACCUUGCCGCGAAGGUUGUUGUCGGAGAGGUCGAGGCGGAGGAGGGAUUUUAGGGAGGAUAUCUCCGGCGGGAUCUCGCCGGAGAAGUCGUUGCUGCUGAGGUAGAGGAGUUGGAGGUUGGUGCAGUUGGAGAAGAGGGUUGAAACGGUGCCGUUUAAGCGGUUGUCGUGGAGGUUGAGGAGGCGAAGGUGGGUGAGGGGAGUGAGAGGGUCUAGUGGGCCACGCAGGUUGAGGGAAGGGAGGGAGAGGGCGGUGACGCGGCCGUUCGGGGAGCAAAGAACGCCGCGCCAGGCGGAGUUGCAAGCAUCAUGGCCUGUCCAAUUUGAAAGAAGGUAGCCAUGUAGGUCACUUUGGCGACGGAAAAGGGUGAGUGCAUGAGUGUCAUUGUGGUGGAGACUUAACGUAGAAAUUGGUAAGAAAAAUAAAAACAUGUACAAGACAUGGUAAUGCUUCAU
rnacentral:lncRNA from 1 species